rnacentral:rRNA from 1 species
UAUCUCGGCUCUCGCAUCGAUGAAGAACGUAGCGAAAUGCGAUACUUGGUGUGAAUUGCAGAAUCCCGUGAACCAUCGAGUCUUUGAACGCAAGUUGCGCCCGAAGCCGUCAGGCCAAGGGCACGUCUGCCUGGGCGUCACG